rnacentral:tRNA from 1 species
UAAGUGAAAGCCAAAUAUGAGAGGCAUUUAAUUGUUAAUUAAAGAAUUGUAGGUUAUACUACUCACUUAG